GUGGGGAAUCUUGCGCAAUGGGCGAAAGCCUGACGCAGCCAUGCCGCGUGAAUGAUGAAGGUCUUAGGAUUGUAAAAUUCUUUCACCGGGGACGAUAAUGACGGUACCCGGAGAAGAAGCUCCGGCUAACUUCGUGCCAGCAGCCGCGGUAAUACGAAGGGGGCUAGCGUUGCUCGGAAUUACUGGGCGUAAAGGGCGCGUAGGCGGACAGCUUAGUCAGAGGUGAAAGCCCAGGGCUCAACCUUGGAAUUGCCUUUGAUACUGGCUGUCUUGAGUUUGGGAGAGGUGAGUGGAACUCCGAGUGUAGAGGUGAAAUUCGUAGAUAUUCGGAAGAACACCAGUGGCGAAGGUGACUCACUGGCCCAAUACUGACGCUGAGGCGCGAAAGCGUGGGGAGCAAACAGGAUUAGAAACCCUGGUAGUCC
rnacentral:rRNA from 1 species